GAAUCUUAGACAAUGGGGCAACCCUGAUCUAGCCAUGCCGCGUGUGUGAUGAAGGCCCUAGGGUCGUAAAGCACUUUCGCCAGAGAUGAUAAUGACAGUAUCUGGUAAAGAAACCCCGGCUAACUCCGUGCCAGCAGCCGCGGUAAUACGGAGGGGGUUAGCGUUGUUCGGAAUUACUGGGCGUAAAGCGCACGUAGGCGGAUUAGUAAGUUAGAGGUGAAAUCCCAGGGCUCAACCCUGGACUGCCUUUAAUACUGCUAGUCUUGAGUUCGAGAGAGGUAAGUGGAAUUCCGAGUGUAGAGGUGAAAUUCGUAGAUAUUCGGAGGAACACCAGUGGCGAAGGCGGCUUACUGGCUCGAUACUGACGCUGAGGUGCGAAAGUGUGGGGAGCAAACAGGAUUAGAUACCCUGGUAGUCCACACCGUAAACGAUGAAUGCCAGACGUCAGCKAGUAUACUUGUUGGUGUCACACCUAACGGAUUAAGCAUUCCGCCUGGG
rnacentral:rRNA from 1 species